UAGAGCACUCUUUACGUAAGAAAACAGAAGAGAAAAGAGUGAGAGAACCACCCCUUGCACCCGUAGCCGCCGCCGACCAAGCCAUCACCGCCACCUUGUGCGCGCGCGAGAGAGAGAGAGAGGGAGACCUGCGAGAGAGAGAGCUCGAGUAGGAGGGAAGAGAGGGACGAGGACAGCAAGCUACUGAGCUCUGAACCUGCAAUCUUUUCUCCUUUUCAGACCAAGAACCCGAGAUGGUCGUGAAGAAAAUGGCGACGACUCAUUCUUGGGAGUUGAUGCUACGUGACGAGCCACUACAGAUGACGACUACACUUCUGAUGAAGAGGAAGAAGAUAAAGAGGAAGGGGCCAAGGAUAUGGUUGGGUUGUGAGACAUCCAUUUUUCUUUUGGGUUGAGAGUACCGAGUUUUGGAAGUAUUGAACCAUUACUUUAUUUUAGUUGAGAUAGUUUAACUUGAUGUAAUUUACUUUGAAGUUUUCUUCCGGAUAUUUAUUUCAUACUCUUUUCAAUGAUUAAUAAAGUUUGAGGUUUACGUUGA